rnacentral:rRNA from 1 species
AGAGUGACGGGCGAUAUGUACACAUCUCAGAGCCAACUUAACUAUCUUUUCUUAAGAUAAUUUACUGACAAAUCCACCUUCAGAAAGGGUUGCACCUUAAAUCCGUAGUUAGUAACUCUAAUUGUAGCUCAUCUGCUGCUUAACCAUAGACUGCACCUUGACCUGAAGUGGAAGAAUUAUAUAUCUUGAAAACGUCCUAUUGGAGUAAUCUGACAACGGCGGUAUACAAGCUGAGAAACCAGGCUAAGUGAGAUUUAUCGGGGAUUAUCGAUUACACGACAAGCUCCUCUGUGAGGUUAAGAUGCCGCCAAAAUCUUUGGGUUUGAAGAACGACUUUUACUACCCUGACAAGUUUUUAGGCUAGGAUAACAGGGUAUCUAAUCCUGCUUUUUUAACUAGCUUUAUUAGGGCUUUCAAGAACGAUUAAGGCUCUUAAGGAAUUGUGCAAAUUCCACCUUAGGAAUUACUAUAAUUCGUCUUAACUGAACUCCUCGAUUACCUAAACUUCAUCUUUUAUUCCAUUUGAGUCUGCCGUCUAACCGCGACGGG